UCUGUUGAGCUUGACUCUAGUCUGAUUUUAUGAGGGUGCUUAGUUGGCGUAGCAUAAGCGGUAGCCUUUGCAUUGACCAGCACCGGCUGCCGAUACCGGCAGCAUCGCGACCGCUGUCCUCUUAUGAUUCCUCUCGUGCCGACGUUGUCGGCAGGUCGGUUUCGCGUUGGGGUGUCGUGCACGUUUGCGACGAUGAAAAACCGUCACUUCCAUAGUUACCUUACGCACUCGAUGGUAAAGGGAUCGAGCAGUUAAUGAGAAGUGAUUCAUUAUCUGGUGCGAAGCGCAUGGAAUGUCAUGGAGUAUGCCUUGACGGGUGCCGAUGCGCGACCCUUCGUCGAGAAAAGUGACGGUCGAAGAGUCUGACUGAGGUGGUAUGUGUGUCAAAAGGUAACGCAGGUGUCCCAAGGCGAGCUCAGCGUGGACGAAAACCACACGUUGAGCAAAAGGACAAAAGCAUGCUUGAUCUCGAUUUUCUGAAAGAAUAUGGUCACACCCAACGAUCAUCACUGGAGGAAAUUGGAUUUCAUGAUGUCCAUGUCUUGUCUUGUCGCCUUUAAAGUGUUCACAGA
rnacentral:ncRNA from 1 species